rnacentral:rRNA from 1 species
GAUGAACGCUGGCGGCGUGCCUAAUACAUGCAAGUCGAGCGAACGGACGCGAAUCUUGCUUUUCUGAUGUUUGCGGCGGACGGGUGAGUAACACGUGGAUAACCUACCUAUCAGACUGGGAUCACUUCGGGAAACCGGCGCUAAUACCGGAGAAUCUUUUGAACCGCAUGGUUCAAAGGUGAGAGUCGGUCUUGCUGUCACUUAUCGCUGGAUCCGCGCUGCAUUGGCUAGUUGGUAAGGUCACGGCCUACCAAGGCAACGAUGCCUAUCCGACGUGAGAGGGUGGUCGGCCACACUGGAACGGAGACACGGACCAGACGCCUACGGGAGGCAGCAGUAGGGAAUCUUCCGCAAUGGGCGAGAGCCUGACGGAGCAACGCCGCGUGAGAGAUGAAGGUCUUCGGAUCGUAAAACUCUGUUAUGAGGGAAGAACAUAUGUGUAAGUAACUGUGCACAGCGUGACGGUACCUAAUCAGAAAGCCACGGCUAACUACGUG